rnacentral:rRNA from 1 species
UACGAAGGGUGCAAGCGUUAAUCGGAAUUACUGGGCGUAAAGGGUGCGUAGGCGGUUGUUUAAGUCUGUCGUGAAAUCCCCGGGCUCAACCUGGGAAUGGCGAUGGAUACUGGGCAGCUAGAGUGUGUCAGAGGAUGGUGGAAUUCCCGGUGUAGCGGUGAAAUGCGUAGAGAUCGGCAGGAAGACCAAGGGGGAAGCCAGGCACCUGGGCCCGUACUGACACUCAUGGACGACCGCGUGGGGAGCGAACCGG